GAGUUUGAUCCUGGCUCAGAUUGAACGCUGGCGGCAGGCCUAACACAUGCAAGUCGAACGGUAACAGAACUAGCUUGCUAGUUGCUGACGAGUGGCGGACGGGUGAGUAAUACUUAGGGAUCUGCCUCUGUGUGGGGGAUAACUAUUGGAAACGAUAGCUAAUACCGCAUAACGUCUACGGACCAAAGAGGGCUUCGGCUCUCGCGCAGAGAGGAACCUAAGCGAGAUUAGCUUGUUGGUGAGGUAAAGGCUCACCAAGGCGACGAUCUCUAGCUGUUCUGAGAGGAAGAUCAGCCACACUGGAACUGAGACACGGUCCAGACUCCUACGGGAGGCAGCAGUGGGGAAUAUUGCACAAUGGGGGCAACCCUGAUGCAGCCAUGCCGCGUGUGUGAAGAAGGCCUUCGGGUUGUAAAGCACUUUCAGUUGUGAGGAAAGGUUAGUAGUUAAUACCUGCUAGCUGUGACGUUAACAACAGAAGAAGCACCGGCUAACUCCGUGCCAGCAGCCGCGGUAAUACGGAGGGUGCGAGCGUUAAUCGGAAUUACUGGGCGUAAAGCGCACGCAGGCGGUCUGUUAAGCUAGAUGUGAAAGCCCCGCGCUCAACGUGGGAGGGUCAUUUAGAACUGGCAGACUAAAAGUCUUGGAGAGGGGAGUGGAAUUCCAGGUGUAGCGGUGAAAUGCGUAGAGAUCUGGANGGAACAUCAAUGGCGAAGGCAACUCCCUGGCCNAAGACUGACGCUCAUGUGCGAAAGUGU
rnacentral:rRNA from 1 species